rnacentral:rRNA from 1 species
UACGGAGGGAGCUAGCGUUGUUCGGAAUUACUGGGCGUAAAGCGCACGUAGGCGGCUUUGUAAGUUAGAGGUGAAAGCCCGGAGCUCAACUCCGGAAUUGCCUUUAAGACUGCAUCGCUAGAAUCCGGGAGAGGUGAGUGGAAUUCCGAGUGUAGAGGUGAAAUUCGUAGAUAUUCGGAAGAACACCAGUGGCGAAGGCGGCUCACUGGACCGGUAUUGACGCUGAGGUGCGAAAAGCGUGGGGAGCAAACAGG